CUACGGGCCGCUGCAGUGGGGAAUAUUGCACAAUGGGGGAAACCCUGAUGCAGCAACGCCGCGUGGAGGAUGACGCAUUUCGGUGUGUAAACUCCUUUUAUAUAGGAAGAUAAUGACGGUACUAUAUGAAUAAGCACCGGCUAACUCCGUGCCAGCAGCCGCGGUAAUACGGAGGGUGCAAGCGUUACUCGGAAUCACUGGGCGUAAAGCGCGCGCAGGCGGCCCCUUAAGUUGGAUGUGAAAGCCUACGGCUUAACCGUAGAACUGCAUCCAAAACUGAGGGGCUAGAGUCUGGGAGGGGAAGAUGGAAUUAGUUGUGUAGGGGUAAAAUCCGUAGAGAUAACUAGGAAUACCAAAAGCGAAGGCGAUCUUCUGGAACAGUACUGACGCUGAGGCGCGAAAGCGUGGGGAGCAAACAGGAUUAGAUACCCCAGUAGUC
rnacentral:rRNA from 1 species